AUAGCCAACGCGCAGCGGGUAUGUAUUAGCCCUUUUACACUUGACACCAGGCAGAAGUCGAUCGACGUUUCAGAUUUGAGAAUCGGGAGAGAAGCCUCCUCCUCCGCGUUGCUUCCUCCUCUGUUCCGAUGGAGUUGAGUCAAUCUGACCGAUGGUUUUUGAUUUUCCAAAGCAAAAUAAUGUCGGUAAGUUUAUAGUCGUUCGUUAUUAUUUCUUUCGUUUUGCACACAAAUCCCUCUCUUUCUGUUCGGAAUGGUGGCUCUUCAGAAAUCAGAUUCGAUUAUCAACUCAAUCCGUGUUGGUGGGCUAGAUCUCUCUCGAGUCUCUCUUUAAUUUCAUUGCCUGGAAGGAAGGUUUUAUUAUUUUCUGGAAUUCAUAAUUAGGGUUUUGACAUAUUAUUUUCGUUAUUGAAGUUUUGUGCCGGUUAAUUGCAAAAUCUAGAUGAAGAUGGUUUGGAUUUAUGAAUUUUGUUGGGGAAAAUAGUACGGUAAGACAAACAUCUGCAUCUACUAUCUUGGCCUCUCAAGAAGCGCCUCUUUGGUAUGUAAAAUUCUCUACAUUCAUUUUUAUGGUUCUGUCGUAUUUUUGGUGAGACCCCUACACUGUAAAUGUUUUUAAUUAAUUCUCCGCUGCAAUUUCCAUGGUCUUUUCGCAUCAAAGGAAAACUCCUUUUCAUUGUUUUCUGUUAACCUGUUUUUUGUCUCCUGCAAUUGAUUCCUAUGCAGCUAUUGGUGCUGUUGAUUUACAUGUUUAUUCAUACUAUAGAUUUAUUGCACUGAAAGUAUGUGAGUUGUUUUUAAUCUUUGGGGAUGUGUCAAGUUCUGGUUUUGGUUAAUAUUAUGAUUAAUCUUAUUACUCCAUGUCUAAUUCUUGGGAUGAUUCUAUACCUGCCUUGGGUUUUAGUUUGUGGCUGGUUUGGGUUUGGGUUAUGCCUGCACAUGGCUGGUCUGGGUCAGGUCGGGUUUGGGUCUAGGUCUAGGUCUGGAGCUGGAUCUAAGUUGGGUUUGCGCUGGGCCUAGGUCUAGGUCUGGAGUGGGUCUGGGGUGGGCUGGCGUUGGGUCUGGACUUGGUCUGGUCUGGAUUUGGGUUUGGGUUUGGUCCGGGUCUAAGUUGGUCUGGGUUUGGGCUGGGCCUAGGUCUAGGUCUGGAGUGGGUCUGGGGUGGGCUGGCGUUGGGUCUGGACUUGGUCAGGUUCUGGAUUUGGGUCUGGGGUGGGUCUGAGUCUGGGUUCAGUCUGGGGCUGGGUCUUGGUCUGGUCUGAGUAGGCGUGGACUUGGGCUGGGUCAGGGUUUGGUUCUAGGUUUGGCCCAGGCCUGGGUCUUGUCUGGGUCUGGAUCUGGGGCGGGGCUGGGUUUGGGUCUGGUUCUGGUCUGAUUCGAGGUCUGGUCUGGAUUUGGGUUUGGGUUUGGUCCGGGUCUAAGUUGGUCUGGGUUUGGGCUGGGCCUAGGUCUAGGUCUGGAGUGGGUCUGGGGUGGGCUGGCGUUGGGUCUGGACUUGGUCAGGUUCUGGAUUUGGGUCUGGGGUGGGUCUGAGUCUGGGUUCAGUCUGGGGCUGGGUCUUGGUCUGGUCUGAGUAGGCGUGGACUUGGGCUGGGUCAGGGUUUGGUUCUAGGUUUGGCCCAGGCCUGGGUCUUGUCUGGGUCUGGAUCUGGGGCGGGGCUGGGUUUGGGUCUGGUUCUGGUCUGAUUCGAGGUCUGGUCUGGAUUUGGGUUUGGGUUUGGUCCGGGUCUAAGUUGGUCUGGGUUUGGGCUGGGCCUAGGUCUAGGUCUGGAGUGGGUCUGGGGUGGGCUGGCGUUGGGUCUGGACUUGGUCAGGUUCUGGAUUUGGGUCUGGGGUGGGUCUGAGUCUGGGUUCAGUCUGGGGCUGGGUCUUGGUCUGGUCUGAGUAGGCGUGGACUUGGGCUGGGUCAGGGUUUGGUUCUAGGUUUGGCCCAGGCCUGGGUCUUGUCUGGGUCUGGAUCUGGGGCGGGGCUGGGUUUGGGUCUGGUUCUGGUCUGAUUCGAGGUCUGGUCUGGAUUUGGGUUUGGGUUUGGUCCGGGUCUAAGUUGGUCUGGGUUUGGGUCUUGCUCCGAACUUGGUCUUGAUCUGGUUUAUGCUGGGUUUGUGUGGUUCUAAACUCGUUCUUAUAACAUAAUUCCAUCUUAUUUUUAGGCUCUAUAUCUUUUAACUUGUAUCAAACGUAUUCUUAAUAUUCUUAGUUUUUAUGGUAUAUGAUUGAGUAAUUCUAACAAACUUCAUUUUCAUCAUUGAUUUUAAGGAUUCAUAAUAAAUGACAACAAUCAAAUUUUCAGAAAAGAAUGUUUUAAUUUGUUUUUCAUUUGUAAUUACAUAACAUUUUUUUUGAAUUUAGUGGAAGUUGAUUAUGUAUGUUAAUGUUAUGGCAUUCUAUUUAAGUUUGAAUUUUGUUAUGUUAAUAGUAUUAGAGUAUUUCUUUAUGCUUGUUAAGUUUAUGUUAUCUAGCUUAUGUUCUAACUUGUUUAAAUUUUGAUGUCUAAAUGUUUAAUUGUGUAUUGUGUUUUUGUUUACACACAUAUGGUUUUCCAAAGAAGCUCUUGUUUUGAAUUUGUUAUUCGCUAGUUGGGUCUAUCUAAAACUCAUAAAUGUGGUAUUCAACCUAUGUUGGAUUGUAUUCUUGACUAUGUUUUCCUGCUACUAUUUUUUUGGAAAAUGAUCAAACUUCCACUUCUCAUUUUUUGCUUUUGAUAAUACAGACAUCGUGGUUACAUUAUGGAAAUUCUAUUCUUUGUGAACUACUGAACUUAGACGUUGCACUCGCUGCAGUAAAGACAGCAUACAAAGUGCAGGAAUGCAAGGAUUGGAAUACUUGAGAAAUCUUUGAUAUGAAGGAGUGUAAGGCCAGAUAUGAAAUUUCUUACAAUGGAAAGUCCCAAGAUUUUGAAACAGCAACAAAAGGUGGGCCUGAGAGACUACAUAUUUGUAUGGACAAAUGUGCUUUUUAUCUAUUGAGGUAAACACACCUGAUGCAUGUGUAGUUGUAUGGCCUAUGUGCUUAUUAUCUAUUGAUGUAGGCUUGCCCAGUAAAGCUUACAUAUCUACUUGGACCAUUUUCUUAUAAGAUUUUGGGGGCAAACAUGCUUGAAAGGCUGAAUACCUUUGAUUCUAUGCUUAUUUUCUUUUCAGAGCCUUGAAGCUUGAA